GAUCAUGGCUCAGGAUGAACGCUGGCGGCGUGCCUAACACAUGCAAGUCGAGCGAUUUACUUCGGUAAAGAGCGGCGGACGGGUGAGUAACGCGUGGGUAACCUGCCCUAUACACACGGAUAACAUACCGAAAGGUAUGCUAAUACGAGAUAACAUAAGUAAUUCGCAUGGAUUUCUUAUCAAAGCUUUUGCGGUAUAGGAUGGACCCGCGUCUGAUUAGCUAGUUGGUAAGGUAACGGCUUACCAAGGCG
rnacentral:rRNA from 1 species